rnacentral:rRNA from 1 species
CACGUAGGGCGCGAUCGUUGUCCGGAAUUAUUGGGCGUAAAGAGCUCGUAGGCGGCCUGUUGCGUCCGCUGUGAAAGCCCGGGGCUUAACCCCGGGUCGGCAGUGGAUACGGGCAGGCUAGAGGUAGGUAGGGGAGAAUGGAAUUCCCGGUGUAGCGGUGAAAUGCGCAGAUAUCGGGAGGAACACCGGUGGCGAAGGCGGUUCUCUGGGCCUUACCUGACGCUGAGGAGCGAAAGCGUGGGGAGCGAACAGG